CUACGUGCGGAUUUUUUUCGUUCCAACGUGCGCCUGGACGCCCGAGCCCUAAUCCUCCGCGCCGCCCACCCCGGCCUCCAAGCCCUUCUCGCGCCUCGCCUCCGCGCCGUCCUCCGGCCUCUCCACCACGCCGCCGCACACUUCCGCCUCCCGCCGCAGUCCAGAUCUCUGCGUCCUGCUCCAUCCUGUGCGCCCAGCCCUUGAGCAGCCCCUUGAGAAGGGGCGAGCAUCCGAGCUAUGGGAGCCUGGGAGGCAGCCGUCAUUGGCCGGUUGGAAGUGGGUGCCAGCCAGGAGGUACCAGCGCGGCCUAGUUGGGCCUGGGUGGGAGACGGAAGCUGGCGUGCUUGCAGCAGGUGCGUCAUGCGUCUCCUCGUGCAGUGUGGCCAGAUCAGCGGCACGAAGCUGGGGCGGCGGUGGGAUGACAAGCAAAGUGGAAAUGCAGACCAUGUGCUCGAUAGUUCUCCUCUAAGAAGUGAGGUCCAAAAUCAUCUUGUGACUCAGUAUUUCGAUUCCCAGCCAAAUAACCACGCUCGGGUCUCUGCUCAGAAAAAAAUCCUCAUUCUUCGUUGCCAUCUAUCGGAGGUGUCACCAUAUAUGCUGUUGACAAGGGGUUAUGAUUUGGGGAAAAUCUUGGCUUGAUGAAAGCGGCAUUGUUUGCAGCUGUUUGCAUCUGUCGGUUGUCAGAGGACUUCUCAUGCAUCAUCCUUGAAGUGCUGAGAAGAUUGACUUGCUCCUAGGGAUCAGAACCACAAGUGAUUCUGGCAGCAAUUAAAGCUUUUUCGAAGCUUGAUUGUAUGUUGGCUCUUGGCUGUUAUACAUAGAGUUCAUGAGGUGUUUAUGGAUAUAAGUUUGUUGCUUAAAUAAUAACUUUAUUCAUUUACUUCAAUCGGCCAACAUCAGUGAUGUUUGGGCAAAUUUAUAUGGGUGUUGACAUGUUUGUUCAUAUCUACAUAUGUUGAAAGCUAAUAUAAACAUUAAUGAUAUUUUAUUCAUCGGUUUACAUUGGGAAAAAAUACAAAUAACUAAUGUGAGGUUAAGGUUACAUUCUGCUUUUCACUUCCAAAAGGAGAUAUUCUGCAUUUUCUUUUUCUUUUUCUUUUUGCAUGCAGUUGUUCUCACUAAACUUUAAGAAAGAGCCUUUUGUUGUUAAUAUCACAGGUCGGAAAACAGAUGGUUCUAGGCACACUGGGAGAUGUGUUCAAAGCUGAAAUGCUCUCUUCGCUCUCAUUGUAGGUGGAAUUGUUGUUGUUGUUUUUGGGUCAUGACUCUUCUCAUUCUAUGAAGUCUAUGGCAUUAAAGAGUUUAUAUUUUAUAUUUCGCAGAAAUACCUGCCAUUUUCCUGUUAUUAGGACUAUUUUUGGCAGAUUGUUACCGCUAUUUGAUGAUAAGGAUUUUUCACUUCACUGUAAGAGUGAUGUGUUAAGGAUUCUGCAGAAGGUGAUGGCAAAUGACUUCUGUGCUUGCUGAUUUAGCCUUUUUUUGUUGUAAUUUGAUUUGGUCGAAACCAUUUUCAGAUGUUCUGUGGUAAAGCUCCAAGCUUUAGUCAUGAGAAUGGUUCCGAGUUAUCUAAGCUUGUUCUGGCUGCUGAAAUAUUUUUGCAUUCUUCUUUCUGGGAGAUGCAAGGUACAACUCUAGAAAUUAUUGUGGAAAUCUUAUGCUUGCACAAGCAAGCAAGGCCAGAUCUGACCUCAACCACUGGGAGUGGUUCAUCAUUUGCAUACCUGAAUGCCAAGGAAUUACCAACAACAUUGAAGCUUCUCUGGUUGAAACAAAUAUUUGUAAAGCAAAACUGGAUUCCACUUAAUUUAAUGGCAAGGAGAAUGAAUCCGGAGUGCAUGAUAUACUUCUUUGCAUGCUCAAAUUUGCAAAUGCUUGUCACGAUAUGCUUUGUAAAUCAUCUGGUGCAAGAUGCAAUCUUCGUGAUUGCAUUAAGAGUCUAAUCGAGUGUGUAUCAUAACGCCCCUCAGUAUUGGAGCACAUAUGAAGACUUUCAUAUGAUUAAGCAGGCUGGUUCAUGGACGUCUUCGACAUCACCGACACUGGGCCACAAGGUGUCCGAUGUUGAUGAGCUGCUGCUCAAGGAAGAACAAGGUGGCAUGUGCUGGUCGACCAAUAUGGCGAAGUCCGAUGGCCGUCAUACCUGCCUAACAUUGGAGUCUCCCUCAAC